rnacentral:rRNA from 1 species
GACGAACGCUGGCGGCGUGCUUAACACAUGCAAGUCGAACGGAAAGGCCCUGCUUUUGUGGGGUGCUCGAGUGGCGAACGGGUGAGUAACACGUGAGUAACCUGCCCUUGACUUUGGGAUAACUUCAGGAAACUGGGGCUAAUACCGGAUAGGAGCUCCUGCUGCAUGGUGGGGGUUGGAAAGUUUCGGCGGUUGGUGAUGGACUCGCGGCUUAUCAGCUUGUUGGUGGGGUAGUGGCUUACCAAGGCUUUGACGGGUAGCCGGCCUGAGGGGGUGACCGGCCACAUUGGGACUGAGAUACGGCCCAGACUCCUACGGGAGGCAGCAGUGGGGAAUAUUGCACAGUGGGCGGAAGCCUGAUGCAGCAACGCCGCGUGCGGGAUGACGGCCUUCGGGUUGUAAACCGCUUUCGCCUGUGACGAAGCGUGAGUGACGGUAAUGGGUAAAGAAGCACCGGCUAACUACGUG